GGAGGAUUAGCGAAGCGGUCAUAACGCGGCGGUCUUGAAAACCGUUUGGGUGAAAGCCCACGGGGGUUCGAAUCCCUCAUCCUCCGCCA
rnacentral:tRNA from 1 species